rnacentral:tRNA from 1 species
GGGGAUUUAGCUCAGUGGUAGAGCGUUUGCCUACCAAGCACAAGGCCCUGGGUUCGGUUCCCAGCUCA